rnacentral:rRNA from 1 species
AGAGCGAACGCUGGCGGCAUGCUUAACACAUGCAAGUCGCACGGGCAGGGGUAACUCUGUCAGUGGCGGACGGGUGAGUAACGCGUAGGUAUCUAUCUCUGGGUGGGGGAUAACCGUGGGAAACUACGGCUAAUACCGCAUGACACCUGAGGGUCAAAGGCGCGAGCCGCCUGGAGAGGAGCCUGCGUUCGAUUAGCUUGUUGGUGGGGUAAAGGCCUACCAAGGCGACGAUCGAUAGCUGGUCUGAGAGGAUGAUCAGCCACAUUGGGACUGAGACACGGCCCAAACUCCUACGGGAGGCAGCAGUGGGAAUAUUGGACAAUGGGCGUAAGCCUGAUCCAGCAAUGCCGCGUGGGUGAAGAAGGUUUUCGGAUUGUAAAGCCCUUUUGGCGGGGACGAUGAUGACGGUACCCGCAGAAUAAGCCCGGCUAACUUCGCGCCAGCAGCCGC